GGAAGCGUGGCCGAGUGGUUAUGGCGUGUGACUCAAGCUUGAUUUAUAUCAGCUUCAGAAGAUUUCUUCUGAGUAUUCUCAUAGGGCAACCUGCAGGGGUUCGAAUCCCCUCGCUUUCA